GCCAUCUUAGCUCAGUUGUUAGAGCGUGUGGCUUUUAACCACAUGGUUGUGGGUUCGAUUCCCACAUAAGACA
rfam:Picea glauca, whole genome shotgun sequence.